UACAGAGGGUGCAAGCGUUGUUCGGAUUUACUGGGCGUAAAGCGUACGCAGACGGUUUGGUAGGUCGGAUGUGAAAGCCCCGGGCUCAACCCGGGAAUUGCAUCCGAAACCACCUCACUCGAGUGUGGGAGAGGGAAGCGGAAUUCCUGGUGUAGAGGUGAAAUUCGUAGAUAUCAGGAGGAACACCGGCGGCGAAGGCGGCUUCCUGGCCCAUUACUGACGUUCAGGUACGAAGGCGUGGGGAGCAAACAGG
rnacentral:rRNA from 1 species